UUGAAGGUUGAAAAUAAAAACGAAUGUAACACUCACUGAGCUGCCAGCUACAAUUCUACAUCAAGAAUAAGCUUUACCCUUGCAGAAAAAAAAAUGGCAUGGGCUAUAGCAUUGACCACCAUGCUAUCCAUGACACUUCUCAACAGUUUACAUGCUGCUAGACACAAUGCUACAACAAGCAAAGCUUUUGUCUGUUAUUUUACUGCAACCUCCUACUUUCCUGCCAUCACAAGUACCAGCUGAUCUCUGUACACAUUUGAUUUAUGCCUUUGGAACUAUAACACAGCAAGGAAUCAAGCCAACUAAGUCUUCGGAUGUUCAAAACUAUAAAACUCUUGUGCAACUGAAAAAGAGAAAUCCCAGAUUUGAAAGUAUUAUUGUCAUUACAACAAGGAUUUGAUACAGUUGUACAUGCCUGGGCCAGAAGUCAUGAAAAGGUAAUGAAAUCAGUGUUGAUUU